CCGGGAAGCUCUGGCCACCCGGAGCCUGUCUCGGCAUUUGUACGGGGGAUAAAGAGACGCUUCCUCCAAGGCUGUUUUCUGAAUUCAGCAGUGCUCAGGGCAGCUGCGAUGGAGUCAGCAGCUACACCAGUGCCGGGCUGCUGCCUGGGUGGAGGGUGGAGAGGAAAUGUGAGUCACACAGGACCCCAGAGCCGCCCAGCCAAGCCCUGGCCAUGCCAGCCCGGGAGGCCCGAGGUCCCCACGCAAAUUACCCACCAGAUGAACCCACUCGAUAGAGCCUGGCAUCCCUCUCUCCUCUAGGAAAAAAAUUACAGGAAACUAAAAAGUACACUCAGUUGCGCUUGAAGCCAUCUGAGUUUCAUGAAGCAGCAAGUCCUCCAGGCCCUGGAAAGCUCAGGAGCUGGGAAGAAAGAGGCGUUUUCACUCCAGCACAGGUGCUGAUGCCACAGGAUUCCCAGAAGCCCCCAGCCCAGAUGCACCACUCAGAAGCCCCUCCACCCCCACUUCAUAAAAAUCCAAAUCACUCUGUGUGUAACUAAGUCUUCUGGUUGUUUGGCACCUUUUGAAAAUGACUUUUGAACUUUUCUUAUGACAAAGUCCAUCUUUGGGGUGAGGCCCCGUCCACACCCCACAAAAGGCUGUGGUCCUCUGAAGCUCCCGGGCGCAACAGGCUAUAGUUUGCUUCCCGCCCAGCCCAGGAAGCUCAGAGUCACAACUUCAGCUUCCCUAGGAACUUCCCUGACGCUGUGGAGGCCUUUGGCACUGGCAAGGGGAGGGAGGUUCAGUGACUGUGCUGAGCAGGAGGGACACUGAGGCGCACACGGGGCCAGGAUGUCGCGUUUAAUGACACCCCGAGGGGACGCCAUUUUUGCAGCCGAGGCCAACACAGCCUGCUCCUCUCUUUAUGUCCCGAGAAGCAAGAGGGACUCCAGCCGUCUCCCCCGCGGCCUCCUCCAGGUGGCUGCCCCGCAGCGGUGAGUCCAUGAAAAGCAAAUGGAACGACGGCAUGGAGGCGUCUUUUCCCACCCGUGCCUCGUGGGCCUGUGGGGAACCAUCCUUGCCGGAGCGGCCCCAAGGGGAGCCACGUCUGCGUGGCCAGCCAGGCCCAGCUCAGCAGCUGCCAUGGAGCAGCCUCCACCGCACACCUGGGAGCACCCGCACCCUGCAAUUCCUGCGCAGGUGGGAGCAGAUACGCUUAGACUUCCCCUAAAAGUGCGGGGAACCGACAAACAUCCCUGCCUUCCUCAAAGACCCCGGCUGAGCCAGCGCCUGUGGCCUUCCCUCUUGGAGGUGGGGCCUCUCCCCGUGGUGUCCGACGUCUG
rnacentral:lncRNA from 1 species